rnacentral:rRNA from 1 species
AUGAACGCUAGCGACAGGCCUAACACAUGCAAGUCAGGGGCAGCACAAGGAGCAAUCUGAGGUGGCGACCGGCGCACGGGUGAGUAACACGUAUGCAACCUGCCUGUAAGCGGGGAAUAACCCGUUGAAAGACGGACUAAUACCGCAUAAUACUAAAUUACUGCAUGGUAAUUUAUUUAAACAUUUAUGGCUUACAGAUGGGCAUGCGCAUGAUUAGCUAGUUGGAGAGGUAACGGCUCCCCAAGGCAACGAUCAUUAGGGGUUCUGAGAGGAAGGUCCCCCCACACUGGUACUGAGACACGGACCAGACUCCUACGGGAGGCAGCAGUGAGGAAUAUUGGUCAAUGGACGAGAGUCUGAACCAGCCAAGUCGCGUGCAGGAAGAAUGUCCCUAUGGAUUGUAAACUGCUUUUGCAGGGGAAUAAAGUGCAUCACGUGUGAUGUUUUGUAUGUACUCUGCGAAUAAGGAUCGGCUAACUCCGUGCCAGCCGCCGC